rnacentral:rRNA from 1 species
UACGGGGGGGGCAAGCGUUGUUCGGAAUUACUGGGCGUAAAGGGCUCGUAGGCGGCCAACUAAGUCGGAUGUGAAAUCUCAGGGCUCAACCCUGAAACUGCAUUCGAUACUGCGUGGCUAGAGUGCUGGAGAGGAGACUGGAAUUUACGGUGUAGCAGUGAAAUGCGUAGAUAUCGUAAGGAAGACCAGUGGCGAAGGCGAGUCUCUGGACAGCAACUGACGCUGAGGCACGAAGGCCAGGGGAGCAAACGGG